rnacentral:misc_RNA from 1 species
GAAGACAUGUUCAGUUUGGAGCUGCCUGACCAACGCCGAAAUGGAUUUCUUACCCCCAACCCUGUAACGGUUACAGUGGACAACACCCUGAGUCCUUCUCACACGCUUAUUCAAAUUUUCUGCGAAGAUCACAAAGGUCUUAUGUAUGAUAUGAUGAGAACCCUUAAGGAUUAUAACAUCCAGAUUUGUUAUGGAAGAUUUUUUGCAAGCACAAAAAGGAACUGUGAAGUGGACUUGUUCAUAAUGCAAGCAGAUGGCAAAAAGAUAAUUGACCCCAAUAAACAAAAUGCAUUGUGCUCUCGAUUGAGAAUGGAGCUUCUCCACCCCCUUAGAGUUGCUGUUUUUAGCCGGGGUCCUGAUACAGAGCUGCUUGUUGCUAACCCUGUUGAGUUGUCUGGAAGGGGCAGGCCUCUUGUCUUUUACGAUAUUACACUGGCUCUCCAAACAUUAAGUAUUGGCAUCUUCUCAGUGGAGAUUGGGAGGCACAUGAUUCAUGACCGGGG